UUGUGAGGUUAAGCGACUAAGCGUACACGGUGGAUGCCCUGGCAGUCAGAGGCGAUGAAGGACGUGCUAAUCUGCGAUAAGCGUCGGUGAGGUGAUAUGAACCGUUAUAACCGGCGAUUUCCGAAUGGGGAAACCCAGUGUGUUUCGACACACUAUCAUUAACUGAAUCCAUAGGUUAAUGAGGCGAACCGGGGGAACUGAAACAUCUAAGUACCCCGAGGAAAAGAAAUCAACCGAGAUUCCCCCAGUAGCGGCGAGCGAACGGGGAGGAGCCCAGAGCCUGAAUCAGUGUGUGUGUUAGUGGAAGCGUCUGGAAAGGCGCGCGAUACAGGGUGACAGCCCCGUACACAAAAAUGCACAUAUUGUGAGCUCGAUGAGUAGGGCGGGACACGUGGUAUCCUGUCUGAAUAUGGGGGGACCAUCCUCCAAGGCUAAAUACUCCUGACUGACCGAUAGUGAACCAGUACCGUGAGGGAAAGGCGAAAAGAACCCCGGCGAGGGGAGUGAAAAAGAACCUGAAACCGUGUACGUACAAGCAGUGGGAGCCUCUUAAUGGGGUGACUGCGUACCUUUUGUAUAAUGGGUCAGCGACUUAUAUUCUGUAGCAAGGUUAACCGAAUAGGGGAGCCGAAGGGAAACCGAGUCUUAACUGGGCGUUAAGUUGCAGGGUAUAGACCCGAAACCCGGUGAUCUAGCCAUGGGCAGGUUGAAGGUUGGGUAACACUAACUGGAGGACCGAACCGACUAAUGUUGAAAAAUUAGCGGAUGACUUGUGGCUGGGGGUGAAAGGCCAAUCAAACCGGGAGAUAGCUGGUUCUCCCCGAAAGCUAUUUAGGUAGCGCCUCGUGAAUUCAUCUCCGGGGGUAGAGCACUGUUUCGGCAAGGGGGUCAUCCCGACUUACCAACCCGAUGCAAACUGCGAAUACCGGAGAAUGUUAUCACGGGAGACACACGGCGGGUGCUAACGUCCGUCGUGAAGAGGGAAACAACCCAGACCGCCAGCUAAGGUCCCAAAGUCAUGGUUAAGUGGGAAACGAUGUGGGAAGGCCCAGACAGCCAGGAUGUUGGCUUAGAAGCAGCCAUCAUUUAAAGAAAGCGUAAUAGCUCACUGGUCGAGUCGGCCUGCGCGGAAGAUGUAACGGGGCUAAACCAUGCACCGAAGCUGCGGCAGCGACGCUUAUGCGUUGUUGGGUAGGGGAGCGUUCUGUAAGCCUGUGAAGGUGUGCUGUGAGGCAUGCUGGAGGUAUCAGAAGUGCGAAUGCUGACAUAAGUAACGAUAAAGCGGGUGAAAAGCCCGCUCGCCGGAAGACCAAGGGUUCCUGUCCAACGUUAAUCGGGGCAGGGUGAGUCGACC
rnacentral:rRNA from 1 species